GGCGAACGCUGGCGGCGUGCUUAACACAUGCAAGUCGAACGAUGAAGCUGGAGCUUGCUCCGGUGGAUUAGUGGCGAACGGGUGAGUAACACGUGAGCAAUCUGCCCUUGACUCUGGGAUAACUGCGGGAAACUGUAGCUAAUACCGGAUACUUUCGCUGGAGGGCAUCUUCUGGUGAAGAAAGAAUUUCGGUCAAGGAUGAGCUCGCGGCCUAUCAGCUUGUUGGUAAGGUAACGGCUCACCAAGGCGACGACGGGUAGCCGGCCUGAGAGGGUGACCGGCCACACUGGGACUGAGACACGGCCCAGACUCCUACGGGAGGCAGCAGUGGGGAAUAUUGCACAAUGGGCGCAAGCCUGACGCAGCAACGCCGCGUGAGGGAUGAAGGCCUUCGGGUUGUAAACCUCUUUUAGCAGGGAAGAAGCGAAAGUGACGGUACCUGCAGAAAAAGCACCGGCUAACUACGUGCCAGCCGCCGCAGUAA
rnacentral:rRNA from 1 species